CCUACGGGGGGCUGCAGUGGGGAAUAUUGGACAAUGGGCGAAAGCCUGAUCCAGCCAUGCCGCGUGUGUGAAGAAGGCCUUCGGGUUGUAAAGCACUUUCAGUGGGGAAGAAAGCCUUGGGGCUAAUACCCUCGAGGAAGGACAUCACCCACAGAAGAAGCACCGGCUAACUCCGUGCCAGCAGCCGCGGUAAUACGGAGGGUGCGAGCGUUAAUCGGAAUUACUGGGCGUAAAGCGCGCGUAGGCGGUCUGAUAAGCCGGUUGUGAAAGCCCCGGGCUCAACCUGGGAACGGCAUCCGGAAAUGUCAGGCUUGGGUGCAGGAGAGGAAGGUAGAAUUCCCGGUGUAGCGGGGGAAUGCGUAGAGGUCGGGAGGAAUACCAGUGGCGAAGGCGGCCUUCUGGACCGACACUGACGCUGAGGUGCGAAAGCGUGGGUAGCAAACAGGGUUAGGUACCCCAGUAGUC
rnacentral:rRNA from 1 species